rnacentral:rRNA from 1 species
ACGGUUACCUUGUUACGACUUAGCCCCAGUCACCGGUUUUACCCUAGGACGCUCCUUGCGGUCACGCACUUCAGGUACCCCCGGCUUCCAUGGCUUGACGGGCGGUGUGUACAAGGCCCGGGAACGUAUUCACCGCGCCGUGGCUGAUGCGCGAUUACUAGCGAAUCCAGCUUCAUGGAGUCGAGUUGCAGACUCCAAUCCGAACUGAGACAGGUUUUCGGGUUCCGCUCUAUGUCGCCAUAUGGCUUCCCGCUGUACCUGCCAUUGUAACACGUGUGUCGCCCCGGACGUAAGGGCCGUGCUGAUUUGACGUCAUCCCCGCCUUCCUCACAGCUUGCGCCGGCAGUCUCCACAGAGUCCUCAGCUUUACCUGUUAACAACUGUAGAUGGGGGUUGCGCUCGUUAUGGCACUUAAGCCGACACCUCACGGCACGAGCUGACGACAACCAUGCAGCACCUCGUAGACUGCCCCGAAGGGAGAACGGCUUUCACCGUCUGUCAUUCUACGUUUGAGCCCGGGUAAGGUUCCUCGCGUAUCAUCGAAUUANACCACAUGUUCCUCCGCUUGUGCGGGCCCCCGUCAAUUCCUUUGAGUUUCACCGUUGCCGGCGUACUCCCCAGGUGGAAUACUUAACGCUUUCGCUGUAUCACCCAGUCAUCAUUCUG